UACGUAGGGGGCUAGCGUUGCUCGGAAUGACUGGGCGUAAAGGGCGCGUAGGCGGAUCGGACAGUCAGACGUGAAAUUCCUGGGCUUAACCUGGGGGCUGCGUUUGAGACGUGUGGUCUAGAGUGGGGAAGAGGGUCGUGGAAUUCCCAGUGUAGAGGUGAAAUUCGUAGAUAUUGGGAAGAACACCGGUGGCGAAGGCGGCGACCUGGUCCUUGACUGACGCUGAGGCGCGAAAGCGUGGGGAGCAAACAGG
rnacentral:rRNA from 1 species